rnacentral:rRNA from 1 species
AUGGAGUCCCGCCGAGGAGGGGUUGGAGGGGUAGCACGUUCUCCGUCUGCUUUCAAGGCUGCAUGGUGUAAGCCAUACUAUGGAAUCACAGACCCUCUUCUAGCUGAAGCGUUGGCUCUUCGAGAUGGCGUAAUUUUUGCAAAGCUUCGAGGUUAUGAUCAAGUCAUCUUGGAGACGGAUAGCCAAGAGGUUGUUAACCUCUGGCACUCGCGCCAUGAUUUUUCAGUGGUGGCACCGAUUCUUGACGAGAUUGGGGAGCACGCCAGCUCUUUUAAAUUUUUUCUUAUUCAACAUGUGUUGAGAUCAACAAAUUUUCCUGCUCACCUUUGUGCGAAGCAAGCUAGCACGAUGGAUGUAACAGAUUGUUGGUUAGACUCUAUUCCUAGUUUACUUGUAACUAGCCUCCUGGCAGAUGUUGCCGGGGUGGUUUCUGUUGAAUAA